AAUUAAUUCUAUUUAUAAUAGUUAAUAGAGUAAUAUCACGACAGAACAAUUUAAUUUAUUUAAUGAUAAUAUAUUUUAUUCCCCAAAAUAGUAAAAAUAGUCAUGUCGUCGCAGCCGUAUGUAACAUAACUCGAUAAACACGCAAUAAAAUCGAGCCUGACUAAAACUAAUCAUUUUUUAAUCCUGGUGAUCUUGUUCAGGAUAUUAGUACAAAGUAAUCAAAUUAUUGUCGUCGCGUCAGAUGAAAAUUGAAAAAUUAUUUCUUAUAUAUAGACAUAGUUCAAAUUAAUAAAGUGCGCUGAUUAAUAUUAUUAUUUGAUAAAGCGACAGCUGCGGUUUUAUUAAAACAUAUAGGUCCUAAGCAUUAAAUAAACUUCGAAACUAAUACAUACUGAUUCGAAAUGAUUAUUGAAAUUAAUAUUGUAAAGUAAAUCUUUUUACAUUCGACAAGUUCAAAAUCGAUAGUUGGCGCUUCACUAAGGUGUGGCAGGCUCUCCCCGCGGGCCCCAGCUCAGCCACGCCCAGCGCGCGCAUUCUCAAACAAAAUCCACACGAAAUGGUUGUACGAAGAAUCGAAUAGAGUCGGCGCCGCUCCUUCGUUACAGUGACGCACGUCACAUCAGCUAGGCAGCUCAGUUGGGUAGUGAUCUCGAUAGCUGACGAACCUUACGCACGCCGUGCACACGUGCCAUACGCGUCUGUAUCCCUUCUCCGCAACGAUUCCGCAGUCCGUCGUUCUGUAAUCGGUAAAACCGUCCAUCGACGCCGUUUGCACUCGGUGCCGUUCCAUUCAUUACCUCUAUUUGAUAUCAGAAAAUUAUAAUGCUGAAUUAAAAACACUAUAUUCGUGCUUACCGGCCCACGUGUGGUUUCUAGAUGUUUGUUAAUAUUGUCAAAUUUUAAAGUUCAGGCCGAUUUUUCUGAUUGUAAGCGUGAUUUUUUUUUAUCUUGCGUGUCAAACGCAAGCCGGAUUUAAUUUUAAACGCGGUACUCAAAAGCCUUCAAAAUUUAUUCAAGUGUGAUAAUGUCUAAUCCAAUGGAGCAACAGUUCGAGCUUAAUUUAUCACAAGAGGACCAUGAUCAAAUAUUUGAACAAGACGAUCUCCACGAUCAAAGAUCCUCAAAGGUACUCAUCAGUGGGCUACCUCUGCAUAUCCGCUUCGAUAACAUCGAGCCACUGCUCUCACAGUAUGGCAACGUGCAGCAUUGCGACAAAGCCAACACCCGCGAUCCCAACACCCAAGCGGUGUUCAUCACCUUCGAGAGUCCAGAGCAGGCGCAGCAAGCCAUAAACGGGUUGAAUGGAUGUGAAUUGGAGGGUUGUCGUAUAAAAGUGGAGGCAGCAGAGCAGAAUGCUCGUGGAGGUCGUCGCGGUCGCCCUGGUGGCGGCCGUGGUGGAGGCGGCGCUGCUGGCGGUGGCUCGCGCCCCACCGACUUCCCACUGCGUCUGCUGGUGCAGAGCGACAUGGUCGGCGCUAUCAUCGGUCGCCAGGGCAGUACCAUUCGACUCAUCACCCAGCAGAGUCGUGCUCGCGUUGACGUACACAGGAAGGAUAAUGUCGGCUCCCUGGAAAAAGCAAUUACCAUCUAUGGGAAUCCCGAGAAUUGCACCAAUGCCUGCAAGAGAAUCCUUGAAGUAAUGCAGCAGGAGGCCAAUAAUACUAAUAAAGGCGAAAUAUGCCUGAAGAUUUUGGCCCAUAAUAAUCUCAUUGGACGCAUCAUCGGCAAAGGCGGCAACACCAUCAAGAGAAUUAUGCAAGAGACCGAUACAAAGAUCACUGUCUCCUCUAUAAAUGAUAUCAAUAGCUUCAAUUUGGAGAGAAUCAUAACCGUUAAGGGCUCCAUCGAGAACAUGGCCAAGGCGGAAUCGCAAAUUUCAGCCAAAUUGCGUCAAAGCUACGAAAAUGAUUUGCAGGUGCUGGCGCCGCAAAGCAUUAUGUUCCCUGGGUUGCACCCAAUGGCUAUGAUGUCGACUGGACGUGGUUUCUGUGGAGCUCCGCCACCGUUCCAGCCGCCGAUGUAUGCGCCGCUGGCCGGCCCUGGGGCACAGCAGGGUGCCGGUGACUCGCAGGAAACAACCUAUCUGUACAUCCCAAACAACGCUGUGGGCGCGAUUAUCGGUACAAAGGGCUCGCACAUUCGCAACAUUAUUAGAUUCAGCAAUGCUUCUGUUAAGAUUGCGCCUUUGGAACAAGAAAAGCAACAGGAACCGCAGAACCCACAGCAAGAGCGCAAGGUUACCAUUGUCGGUAGUCCUGAGGCGCAAUGGAAGGCGCAGUAUCUUAUCUUUGAAAAGAUGCGGGAAGAAGGUUUUAUGUCUGGAUCGGAUGACGUGCGGCUGAUUGUGGAAAUUGUCGUGGCCUCGUCGCAAGUGGGUCGGAUCAUCGGCAAAGGCGGACAGAACGUGAGGGAGCUUCAGCGCGUGACCGGCUCGCUGAUCAAGCUACCCGAGCAGCAGCAGCAGCCCGGCUCGCAGGGACAAGAGCACGAGACCACCGUUCACAUUGUGGGCCCCUUUUAUAGCGUCCAGCAAUCGUCUGAGGCGGGAUGAGAACGUUUCCGAGAGGCACCCCACCCCCCCUUACACAAAUUCGCACGUAGUGCCACUGUUGAAAAUGGCCCGAUACGAUGACUAUGUAUCGUGUUCUUUUUAAACAUUGAACAAAAUACUAGUCUGCGCAGCGACGCAUCCGUGCCAUGGUGGCGCAGGCGAGCGCGCCGGGACGCCGCCGCGCCGCGCAGCCCCCGCCCGUGCAGCAGUAGGCAGACAAGUCCGCGUCCCCACCCCCACCCCCCCAACCCUCCCCGCGCGCUCUUACAAACCCCACCCCUCUAAACCCUGCCCCCGCCCCCCCUAACCGCGGCCAGCCUCCGCAUUACCUACAGCCUAAUUACACACCUUUUUUUUCGCAUUAACCAAUUAAGCAGCCUUACAGUCACUCUGAGUAACUGAUGACAUAGUAAGCAUACUUUAAUGCACCCCAAAAAGGACAUCAGUAAAAAUGGUAACGAUGAUAGUUACCCAGAUUGACUGAAUACGCAUUCAGAAUAAAUCAGCCCUUGAAAUGUGUAUGUAUUACACAAUUUUUAAAUUAUCGUUGAAUUACAUAUGAGCUGUCAUAUAAUAAGGUGUGCUUAAACUGCUUUAUGUGAAAUUGAUUUUGCACGACUUUGGAUAAUGUAAUUAAUUUCUGAUUAAUUAGCAAUUUGAAAAGCAUAUUCGUUUUGAUUAAAAUUUACAUUAUUAUAAUGAAGUAAUACUUAUGUAAAUAAAUGUCUUAAAAAUACAUUAUCAUAAGCUGUCUGAUAUCAAAAUUUAAAAUGGAUACGUGCCAUGUACUGUAUCUGUACGUUUUCGAACAUAGUUUUUGUGUUAGGCUCGUAAUGUUAUUGUACACGCUUUCUAUCUUAUACAAUUGUGUAUGUCUCACGGUGGCUCGUCUAUGUAGUCGUUUGGGUUUAGUACGCAACAUGUCCAAUGACCGAUGGAUUAUAUAUCAUAAGUAAAACUGCACAAAACUGAACUUACUGUUAACACGUACGUUCUUUUAUUACAUUACGCAGACGAGAAUGCUUUUAGUUACUUAAAUAUACAUUUUAUAUACAAAAAAAAAUAAUCACAGAUAGUACAAAAUAAUAACAAUGUAUGUGAAUGUAACUCCAAUGGUAAUUGUUGGAAUGUUGGAGUGCUAAUGAGUGUCGAGUGAAGCCAACUGUGUUUGUGAACUGGUGUUCGCAGAGUAUGUACUAAAAUUCGGAUUAUGCGCAGGAAGGCUGUUGUGUUGGUGUAUUUCCAUUUGAUGUUGUUGUUGUCGUAAUUAUAUAUUAAUGUAGUAAAUUAUAAUUAAAUACUUAUUGAUGGAUCCAUAUUUUACCCGGGGAUUAUCUAUGUUGAUGAUUACUAAUUGAAUAUAUAUAAAACUACAAACUAUACUAUUCAUAUACACUAUUUUUAACGAUAAUUGUUAUAUUGUUUUUCAUGCUGUUACACAACUACACGAUAUAAAGUUAUCACAGAUUGCAAUAGUCUAAUAUUAUGUUCUAUUUACUAUACAUAUGUUAGUAGGGAUAUAUCUAUAUAGCACCACCACAUUAUUAUACAAUCGAGAAGUUCAUAUUAUGUUUUGUUAUCACUUCAUAGAUUAAUCUGUUAAGUCACUGCAGAACUGUUAUAAAAUAUUAUUUGAAGGGUGUGUGGGAAGAUAAUUAACAACAAGGAACACGGAUAUAGCACGACAUCGCUUUAACUGGAGGCUCAACGGACUAACGGAUGCUUUGCACGUAUAGUUUAGGAAUGCAUUUCUUGAAACGAUUCACUGAUUUCUGCAUGCCAGUGGUAUAAGACGUCGCGUCGCAUCGCAUCGCAUGCACUGUGUGACACGAUGCGAAGGAUGACGUGCGUCGCGGGUGUUAGUAACUAUUCCAAAGAGUGAAAGAUAGAAGGGUCGUAUAACGGAGACGAUAAGGGCGAUCAAAAGUCACCUCGCCUAGACAAGGAGCGGGCGAGUUCGUCUCUGCCCGCCCCUAUAUACACGGAGAUGAUAUUCAUCCACCUCUCUGAUGGAUGUAAAUAUUUUUGAUAUGGUAGUAAUUGUUGGGAAUUAAGGAGUAAUCUUAUGAUUUUAAUUUGUAAGUGGUAUUUGUUGAUCGUUUUCUUUGUAAUUUUGUCUUUGUUAGCUUUAUAAUGUUUUCUUAUAUUGACAGUAAAUGAACAUUUUGAAAAUAGGAUUACUUUAGCGUUUAAAUGGUGCGAAUGUCAACGUCGUAUUGUUUGGUUUUGUCGUGAUGUUUAAUUCAAUUGUACGAUUUUUGCGUUAUAAUUGUGCCAAGUGAGAUAUUUAAUGAGAAUUUAAGAUUAAGUGGAUAAUAUCAAAAUUUAAUGGAAAAGCUUAGAUAUUUAUAUUAUAAUUGUGAUAAUAUAUGGAAAUUUGGCAAAAAUGUAACUAAGAGUAUCUACAUUCUUAUUCCAUUUUCUCAGUUUUAGGUUAGAAUAAAAGGUAUGUGGUAAGUGCAGUAGUAGAAGCGGACAGUCCGAGCCGCGCUCUGUCGCAUUUAUCUCUCUCUCUUGCCGAUAUAUAAUCCUUUACUUCUUUGUCUAUUGCAUUUCCCAAAUGCAUUAAAAUAAUUCUCAAUUCAUUGGACACAAGAAUACGUGAAAGCUCUGAACGUAUUUGGAGGUUUUAGGUUGUUUAGUUUACUGUGAAAGAAGAAAUCAUUAAAUUUGCCGUUUAAAACAUUUAUUGUCCUAAAAAAACUCGAAGUUGCUUGCUUCCACAUAUUAUUGAAAAAAAAUAAUCAAACUCGACAAUUAACCUUUGCAACUUAAUCAAACAAACUAUUGUAAUGAUGUGAUUCUCUGAAGAAUAAUUUACAAAAGAGUCUUAAAAAGAUUUUGUCAACAAUCGUUAUCAUUUGUUCACUUGUUCGAAUGUCUAUUGUAUUUCCUACAUAUAAAUAAAUAUCUUAAGUAAGUCCGUAUUGGGCACUACCACGACGAUGAAAUGAAAACUUUUUGUAUUUGAUCUCAUUGCGUGGUGCGUGGAAUGUGUAACUAUGAUAUUUUUAGGGCGCGCUGAUUGACUCGCUGAUUUCAAUAUUUUGUUUGCCAGUUAGCCUUCUUAUUGUUUGUUAAUUUCAAUCGUAGAACGAAUGUAGCGUGUGUCACUGACUCCUAAACUAUCCAUACAUUGAAAAUACGCAAUGAAUCCCCCGUAAAGUGGUCGUCCAGAUAAAUUGUGAACGUAUGGAAGAUUAAAUUUCCAACUAAUUGUAUGACUAUGUACUUUAACAAUAACAAAAGACGUGUAUUUCUUAUUAAUUUUCUGUUAAUGAUGCUUAACAAUAAUCUAGAGAUAUAAUUGAUACUUUUGUUUCAAAUUUGACUGACGGCUACUUCACUGUUUUCAUAACAAAAAUAAAACAAUUCUUUUUUUUUUUUCGCCACAAUUCUAACGUGGUAUUGUCGUUUAAAUUGUAACAAAAUAAAUAUAGAAAUGCGACAGUUACUUAUUAUAUUAAAAUUGUAACAUAUCAGUUAGAACAAUCUACAAAUGCCUCUCAAUGCUAGGUAGGACACGGUAAGACAAUUACUCCGAACAGACUGUAUUGUACAUUUUGUACUUACAAAAAUCUAGUAUAGUCUUAUUCAAUUGCUACAAUGAAGUCCCAAGACUGAUGUGAAAUUCCUAUUCUAAUUUAUAAACCUACUUGACGUACACUUUUAGUGUAUGUUUGGAAAAUACCCUUGACAAUAUUUAUACAAAUAGCAAAACACUAAUUUAUAUUGCAAAGCGUGCGUCGGGUUAUCAGGGAAGAAAUCUGGUGUUUUUACAGGCUAAAGUUUUCGAUGUUUAUCCAACUGCGCUUUUCUAAAUAUUUUUUCAAAUCUAUUUAACUGGGAUCCUGCAUAUAUUACCAGCGAAAACAUUCCAAAUGUAGCGACAUCCCUUCGCAGAAGAAUGUUCAUUGAUUGAACCUUUGCCUGUGCAAACAUGCACGCAAUAAAAUUGACGCACUGAAUAUGACAUUAUUUAGUAAGAAAUUAAAACGUAAAAACCUCGCUUUCCGCAGAAUGAAGUGCUUACUGACGUGUAGGUACGUCGUCCAGAUAUUUCAGAUUAUUGCCACUUGUCAUGGACAAAACGGUGUGGAAUCUAGAUUCAUUUAAAUAUCUCUUUAAAUUUUUCCUCUAGGUCCGAUUAAUCUGAGUCACAUAAUUGCAACAAUGCGUGUUUGCAAUAAUUAAAGAAUUUUUGCUUGCGUUCUGCGGAAAGUGCAAAAUUGUAUCACCACUUAUGUACACUUAGAUAUAUUGACGAUUUAUUUGUCGGUGUGCUUUACUAGCUGUUGUUGAAUAUUUUUCGUUUUUACUGGAGUAAAACAAAGAUUUAAUGAUUACAUCGUAUUAAUUGGUCCGCGUGGUGUUCAGUAUCUAGUCGAUAUACUGAAGGUCCUUAGCAUAUGUUGACCCGACUCACCAACAACAACAACCACGUUACAAUAAUUGUAAUGUUCACCGGAAGGAAAUGAUUAUUAUAAUAUAACGGUUACUUUCACCGCGACAGUUAUGUUCAUUGUAUAGACAUGCGGUUAUAAUUCCCAUUACAGGAGAGGGAUUGAUUGAUUUGCAAUGUUAGGAUGCAGAAACAUAGUUUUAGUUGAAUUAAUUGUAUCGUUGUGAAGUAGUUUAAGUUGAGGGUAAGGCGCAGGCGGCGCGCGGCCACGAGACUGAACUACACCCCUGCCGUUGCGUCGUCGCGCCUCUUACUUCAUCGUCAUUUUCGCUAAUAUACUUUUUAUCAUUCUUGUUUAAUGAUGGUUCUACUGUUAUUUACAUUACAUUUAAUAUUACUUUCAUCAUGUGUGUAACCAUUUUUUUUUUGUGUAUACGUGUGAGCGGUUGAAUUUAUCGAUUUCAUUAUGUGCAUGAUUGAAUGUAUCCUAAAAACAGCGUCUGGUUUGCGCUAUUUGGAUUUAAUGCGGACUACGUAGCUAUUUUGUUUCAAAAUGGGCGCUGAUUACAUAUUGCAUUACGUAAUAUAAUUUGUUUCACAUUCAAUACAUUGUUUACCUGUUGCAUAGCCUAGUAUCUAUUGCAAAAACAAGCACGAAAAUGUUCUCAAAAUGAAUAUUGUAUGUUACACCCCUUCCACUAUGCAUAUGUAAUAAAGUUUCAUCGAGUCUAAAGCUAAAUGUUUAAUGUAUGUGUACGUGUAUUAAAUGUACCUUGCUAGUAAAAUGGCACGAUAUCGAUGGUUGACUAUAUAGCGUUACGAAAUGACCAUGACGUGGACACGUUUCGCCGUGGUGCACACUGCACUAGAACCAACGAUAUCUGUUAAAUUUUACAUUAGAAUUUGAGAAGUCAUUCUUGCUUCUCAUGUAGUUAUAUGAAGGUUCCGUCAACAGAUUUUUGUUUCCAUUUAAACAGGCAUUUAUCACCGGAAAUUCUUUGAUUUUACUGUUACUUUUAGAACCAUUUAUGAUUGGUAUAAGUUUUGAAACUAAUAACUACCUCAAUAUUACUAAAUGAAUAUGAUAAUUAUCUUUGUGCAUGUUUUUGGGAACUGAAUUUUUAAAACUACGAAAUUUCAACAUAGUAGUAAGAAUGCUAUUAUAAACAUCGUAUCUGAAAAAUUGUCAAAAUUAGGUUUCUUAACGUAAUAAAAGUAAUGGAAAUUGAA